UGGCCAAAUGUCGGCCAUUCCUUAUUUCCUGCCAGGGUGUACCCGCCAAAACCCCCCAAAACCAAUUCACCCCAAUCAAAAAAAAAAACCCCAAAAUCACCAAAAAAUAUCUCAGUCAUAACAACUGAAAUCAUAAAAUCAUAAAUGUAAUUCUUCAAUUUUCCCCUCAAACAUUCUCUUAAAAUUUCAAGAAUUACAAAAAUGUUCCUCCAAAAUCCCACUGGCCCACUAGCAAAUUGGGCCUUUAUUAUUCAUGCAAAGACCGGUAAAAUUCACUGGAUCUCUCCUGGGACAAAGGAAUCAGUCAAGUCCCAGGUCAGAAAUCUCAGCCAGCUGUUACCCCUCCUCACCCUCCCCCCCCCCCUUUCACCGAGCCGCUGCUGUAUUCCAGAGCACAAAUUUUGAUAUUCUCAGGACUACUGGCCCCCACCAGGUGUUCCUAGUCCCUCGUCAAACUGCCAAACCAAUUUUGGAUAAAUAUUUUUGGCAAUUCUGCGCUUGUCGAAAAAAUAUCGGUAUAUCGAUAUAAUUUUUUCAACGUAUCGAUAUUAUUGAGCGAUAUUUAUUGUUUCGAUAUAUCGAGGUAUCGAUGUAAUAUUACAAGUAUUGAAAAGGUAUAAAAAUCGAUAUUUUUAUGAUGAAAAAAUUCUAAAUCCUUUUUUAUACUAACAUUUUUUAACUUUUUUUUUGUUAAUGGUCGACUCGAUUUCCUGCUUUUUAAUUUAGUACUAAAGUUGGCUUUUAAGUUGGCAACUUUGUCUGUCAAGUGUAAAUGUCAAUUCAACUGUCGUCUGUCAAUGUCAGUCUGUUAUCCGUCCCGCGUAUUAUAACCUCAACGCGAGCGCGAGGGUAUUUCUGUUUUUUCUGAUUGUAGUUCUCAACCAAUGUAACUAAGUAAUUCAAUCAAUAAUCAAUUGACGUAUGUAAACAAAAUAAUUCGAGCACUCCAGUCAUGUCUAGUGUUGUAUGGAAGUUUUUCAAAAAAAAUAGACAGACAAAACGUAUCACGUAAUGGGUGUGGAAAAACAUAUAAAACCAGUGGCAAUACGACGAAUUAAUCUACACAUCUAAAAAAUAACCAUCACCCUGCGUUUUUACAACUUAAAAAUAAAAACCCCGAUACAUCGAUACAUCAAUAUCUCUAAAUAAAAAUAUCAAUAUCGAUAUCGAUAUAUUCAAAAACCACCUCUACAAUAUAUAUCUCUACUUUAUUCCAUUUCCGACAUCACUAAUUUCGAGGUUUGGAAAGUUCAAGGGCAUUCCCUACCUGUUCCUUCAGCUUUUCAAGGUCAUCCUUGAACUCUGCAUCCUCCCAGUUCUUCUCGACGUAGUCCUUCAGGUGUUCACGAACGUAAGGAAAGAGAGUUUCCUGAAAAAAUCAAGAUUUUAAGGUAAAAUUUUGUGAAAAUCGUGUGUCAAAUAAUUCAAUAUGGCGGACUGUUAUCGAGGAUAUCGUCGUGUUGGCUAAUAAUGUCCUUCGUAAUGCACCUCGUCCCCAUCCCCCGGUGUUACCCCCACGUUAAUUACAUAUUAUUCGAUUGUAAUUAGCCCUAAAAGUCACUAGGGGGUUCCUAACCUCAAAAUCCUACGACAAAAGUCCCAUAAAAGGAGUCCUCAACCUCACGAAGGUGAGGGCUCCUCUUCAGGGGCUUCUAAAUGACAUCUCCAGGGUGUUCAUUGAGGUCUGAAGCCUUCAGACAUUUCAAUUGUUUAAACAAACGUUUAAUAAACGAAAUAUUAAUUAUUUUAGGACCAAAUUUGGGUUAAAAAUGUCGUUUAUCGACUCGAAAAACGGACAUUUGAUGGAUUUGUCGUUCCCCAAAGUCGAAUAAAACGAUUUCCGCCAUUUUGUUUAUGAUAAAACAAUAACUUUUUCAUUCCCCAUCGUUCCUUAAUCAUUAAAUUAAAUUUCUGUCUCCAUUUUUUCGAGGGAUGAAGUGGAAUAAUGGGGAGGGGGUCAGUAGCUGUUGGAGGUUAUGUUCGUCUGAUGUCUUGAAACGAUUGGAGAUACCCUAGACCUCAGUCACAUUCUCUUGUAUUAAACCUCUUCGAGGCCCACCCUGUCAUAAUUAACGAACCUGAAAUGCUAAUUAGUGAUAAUUUAGGACGUAAAAUUUGAUAAAUAAUUUAGGGAUCUCCAUUAUUUUUGGAUCUUCAUACCUUUCAACAAUCACAACAACUCCUGGUGCCCAAUUCUGGUGCACAAUCACCAGAUCUUUGUCCCAGGGAACGACACAAAGCUCCAAACACUCGACAAACACAAAGAAAACUCCAAAAAUCACCAGAUUUUUGUUUUAUCAAAAAUGAGGAUCGAUUAGUGCAGCAUAAACUGAUGCUACACCUCAAUAUCUCACCGAAUUCUCCCAGAUGACCUCACGUCAUCAACAUCAACAUCACCCCACAUUCAGAACUGACCUUUUAACCAAAAUGUCUGACAUGUGACACUUUCGGGCGGGGAGGGGGGAUGAAAACCAUUUCCGCGAAAAAAAACUUGUGUACAAAACUCUCCAAACGUUCAUCGUCUCUAACAAAUAAAAAAAACUGUCGAAAAUCGUAAACAAAAAGUUGUUUAUUAACAUUUUCCCUAUUUCCCUAGUAACAUUUACCAUUUACGAAAUUAUCUUCAAGAUAAAAAUCUGGAUGGACUCCAUAUCUACACCUUAACCUCCCAAACCCCCAGAUAAUCAUCCCCCGGACCUUCCCCGAGCCCACGACAUUUUCCACCCCCUCCCCCACCUCAAUUUCCCCCAAAAAAAAUUAUAUUUUCAUAAUUUUUCACUAGAAAUUACCAUACACUAAAUAAUUACCGGACUUCUGACCCCAUCCCCGGGUCCCCAAGACCUCCACGACAUUCCCAUCAACAACCCCAGAUCAAUCCCGCCCCUACCCCGCCCUCAACACCCCCCACAACCCUCUCACACCACCACCCCCUCUCCCUGGGUGGGUAAAAUCUCCUGAAAAUCACCAAAAUCCCGGAAAAUGUCGGCGUGCCAGUGUCCCCCCGAUGUUCUCGAAGAAAUGCCAAAAAAAAUCCAAAACACUUCCCCUACUCCCAUCCCACCGCGAUCCCCUCGUCUCGUCGAACUGGUUUUUCGCCGGCGUUACCCAGCCCCUGCGAACGACAGCAAUGGAAGACCGAACGAAAAAAAAAAAAAUCCUGGGGAAAAAGGACGAAAAUUGUCUCCCCAGGGAUGAGUCCAAAUUACGGAAUAAUUAUCCCAAAUUAAUCGACGUCAGUCGGUGAAUCACUGGGGUAUAUUCUCAGGAUAAAAUAAAUGCAAAUUGUCAUGCUCUUUGUUACCUUCACAAAGUUGAUGCUAGUGGUCGUUCCCUCGAUGUCAACGAUAACGAUAUUUUCGGUGCGUUCUGUCUCCCCCACGUCCUGACUGCGUUUCUCACCUGCCAUUUUACCUCGACUCGUUAAUUAUCACUGGUAAUUGUCAAUAAUAACAGCUAAAAACAAAUCGCAUUGACGAUUUUUUUUUCCUUUUUUCUUUUUCGUUUUUCACACGCGCGACGACGAGACGUUGACUCUCCUCUUAUUUUCUUGGAUGUCUGUGUCUCUGUGUAACCCCCGGUUUCGACGCCGGCGAGUUGGUUACCCCCACCCCGCCCCAACCGGCCAAACACCGGUACCUGUCAGGGCCGAACAAAGAAAUCUCGAUUCACAACAUUUUUACCGACCCCAAUCGACGCCAUUUUCCCCCCCCCUGUCACCCAAUUUUCACGUCACAAAUUCACCUCGAGGACACCAUCAGCAUAACCAUCACCCACUUCGACUAGUGUCUUUUGUCAUUAUCCUCUCGUCAGUCUGAGCCACCCGGGGACCUAGUAAUUGUGCCGUCACUGAGUCUCGUCACUCUGGAGACGAAAUUCACGCAAUUGUGUGCGAAAAAGACGAUGGGAACACGGUGAGUGCGUGUGUGUGUGUAAAGCGGUGAGGUGGCACGACCAAUGGGACACGACCUCGACGGGGCAUUGCACCCUCGCCGAUGACGACGUUCACUACGCCAGGAACAAUUUUUCGCGAGUGGUGGUGAGGGGAUGAGGGGGAUGAGGGGUUCACCAGGUGAUUCAGGGACUUCGUCGAGGGUAUUGCAGGGGGUGUCGGGAUGUCUGGGAUAGGAUGAUGGAGGUGGGAGUCCUGGAGGAGGGGGUGAAACGUCAGGAUGCGUCAGGAUGCCUCAGGAUGCGUCAGGAUGCCUCAGGAAGUCGUCCCCUGGAGUUGACAACCAGACGUUUUUGGGAGUUUUUUAACCCCCUCAGGGGUUCAUUCCACCCUCGGGUGUGACCUGAGGACAUCCAGGAACAUCAUCUCCUGGACGACAUCCUUCACCAGGAGUUAAAAGUAAUAGGACAACUGCAAGAGAUGUGCUACACCCCAGGUGUCAACAGGAGGAGAGCUCUGUUCGUCGAAUAGGCGUCAGUUGAUUUAGAAAUAAAAAUGUGGUUUUCAAUUUAUUGUUGAGGUGAGGCCACGUCCCUCGGGUGAAACAGACGCAUAACGUAGUGUUCAAAAUAUCGCGGUCAACUACCCAAUGACCACAACCAAUCAUCUUUGAUGAGAGUAGCGAGAGGUGACGAUCGAUUUCGGGAUCGUUACGGUGGUCAGUACAGUAUUGAUAUUCGUCGGGAUAGGAAGUGUUUCGUGAUGUCGGUCGGUAAGUCAAGGGGAAAGACAUCGGGAAUCGUUGUAAUGAUGGGGAACGUCAUCAGGGUAAAUUGACAAUAGAGUUCGCUAAAGAAAUGGUAUAAUAUUUUAUCAAUGGAGUUGAUAAAAUGGCGGGGUAAGAUGGCGGUCCGCCGCCAUUUAACCCUGAUUGGGUCGGUCCGCCAUUUUACCCUGAUGGCGUCGGUCCGUCGCCAUCUUAUCCUGAUAGCUUCGGUCCGCCAUUUUACCCUGAUGAUGUCGGUCCGCCAUUUUACCCUGAUGAGGUCGGUCCGCCAUUUUACCCUGAUGGGGUCGGUCGGCCAUUUUACCCUGAUGGGGUCGGUCGGCCAUUUUAUCCUGAUGGCGUUGGUCCGCCGCCAUUUUACCCUGAUGAGGUCGGUCGGCCAUUUUAUCCGGAUGGCGUCGGUCCGUCGCCAUCUUACCCUGAUGGCGUCGGUCGGCCGCCAUUUUAUUCUGAUAUGAAAAAAAGUCGAAGACGAAAUCUGGCGAGGAAAAGAUUUGUCUUUAGGAUCGACCUGUGGAGGUUGUAGUGGAUGAAGCAGAUGUCACCAAAUUAAAUAAUAAUAAUUAUUAAUAAUAAUAGCUAUUAUUAUUAUUAACAAUUUUUUGACUCCUUUUUGAUGAUCGACUUUCCCUUACCUCGUAGUUCAUAAAUCUGUGAUGUCCUGGAGGUGAAUAGUACAGAUGGCGCUAUUAAUCAGCCAUUUUAAUCCGCGAGUUUUUGAAUUAUUAUUUCAAGAUGAAAUUUCAAUGCCGUUGGAAAAUUUUGGAAAAAAUCCAAAAGAACAACCGCAAUGACAAACAAUGAACGAGGGAUGAAUAAAUUGACUGUCGUGAGAAAAACCGUUGCACGAAAACAUAAAUGUCAAGUUGUUGAGGUCUAAUCAAAUUUAUUACCCUCAAAAAGUCAGCGUAAAGGCUGUUCUUUGAAAAACCAAAGCUCGGAGACAAAAGUCAAUUCAACGGUGACGGUACCAAGUCAUGAAAUUUGAGGACUGCUUAUUUUAAAGGUUUUCUGGUUUACAUCUUCAACACAUGUGGGAUCCAUUGUUCACUGUCUUGUUGGACAGGGAGAAAUCUAAAACUCUCCAAGAGGUAAAUUUUCGUGCGCGACUUUUGGGGACUGGUGGGGGUUACUGGACCCAACCCUUAGGAGUUCAAGUUGAGAUAAGUCAGUUCUAAUACAAACUUUCAGCUAGCAGCUUCUCUCCGUCAGUCUCUUCCAUUAGUUUUCAAGAGCUUGAUAAGGAUCAGUCAUAAGAAUAACUUUAAUAUAACGAUCCAAUUUACAUUUAGUUUUUACCAAAUAAAAGUGUUAGUGUGCUCUCCUAAUCAGUUGUCUUAUUAAUUUAUUAUUGAAUUACCCAAUAAUUCAAUUGACCUCAACCUGGAGAAAUCGACUUCGAGUCUUCAUCAGAGGUUCAGCGAAUUUUGUCUUCGGGGAAACCCCAAAAUUCAACAGCAUUUUACAUUAAUAAUUUGUUUUGUUCAGUGUAUUUACAAACAGUCAUAUAAAAUACGAAAAAUAAUCUUCUCGAAGGUGACAAUCAUCAACAGCUCAGGAACUCCGUUUCUGCUUUUUCCGACGUUUCCUCGACGGCUCCGAGUCACUGCUGGAGCUGCUCGACGAACUACUGGAGGAGCUCGAGGAGCUCUCACUACUGGAACUGGAGUCUGAAUCACUGUCAGACCCCGAGUUCGAGGUGCUGGUGUCACUGUCACUGGAGGACUCAGGAUCACUCGAGCUACUUGACGAUUCUGACUUCGGUGCCUUAGAUUUUCUCAGGGGAGGUUCCGUCUUCCUGGAGUCUCUGGAAGUAAAUGGAACGCAGUCAAUUACAAGUUGAUGAAGGAUAAAUGUUUAUUUAUUUAUUUACAUUCCAUGAAAAUUGAGAUAUUUUUUUUUUACUUCUGGAGAAGGUUUAGGACGUGUUGGGAACGUCUCCAGGACAGGAUUAAUUUAUGAUACAUCGAUAUAUCGAUAUUUUUGAGCGAUAUUUAUUGUUUCGAUAUAUCGAGAUAUCGAUAUAAUAUUACAAGUAUUGAAAAGAUAUAAAAAUCGAUAUUUUUAUGAUCAAAAAAUUCUAAAUCCUUUUUUAUACUAACAUUUUUAAACUUUUUUUUUUGUUAAUGGUCGACUCGAUUUCCUGCUUUUUAAUUUAGUACUAAAGUUGGCUUUUAAGUUGGCAACUUUGUCUGUCAAGUGUAAAUGUCAAUUCAACUGUCGUCUGUCAAUGUCAGUCUGUUAUCCGUCCCGCGUAUUAUAACCUCAACGCGAGCGCGAGGGUAUUUCUGUUUUUUCUGAUUGUAGUUCUCAACCAAUGUAACUAAGUAAUUCGAUCAAUAAUCAAUUGACGUAUGUAAACAAAAUAAUUCGAGCACUCCAGUCAUGUCUAGUGUUGUAUGGAAGUUUUUCAAAAAAAUAGACAGACAAAACGUAUCACGUAAUGGGUGUGGAAAAACAUAUAAAACCAGUGGCAAUACGACGAAUUAAUCUACACAUCUAAAAAAUAACCAUCACCCUGCGUUUUUACAACUUAAAAAUAAAAACCCCGAUACAUCGAUACAUCAAUAUCUCUAAAUAAAAAUAUCAAUAUCGAUAUCGAUAUAUUCAAAAACUACCUCUACAAUAUAUAUCUCUACUUUAUUCCAUUUCCGACAUCACUAUUCUGGAGUCGUAAACUUUCUUUUGUUUUUUUUUUCCUGGAGAAUGUUUUUAAAUUAUCAGAAUUUAUUCUCUGGACGAUCCUCUAGGUCAGUCGUGCCACGAAAAUAAUUUCCAGAUGACAAUGCUCUCUUCAACUGAACUGUCCUCGAUGAUCUGUGAAGGUACUUUCGUUUUCCUGUACAUUCGUAACUCCAAUGUCCCAUCUCCAGACACUUCUGACAUCUCAUUCCCUGAGGGCACGAGUUCCUGGACAAAUCCAACAU